rnacentral:rRNA from 1 species
GACGAACGCUGGCGGCGUGCUUAACACAUGCAAGUCGAACGGAAAGGCCCUGCUUUUGUGGGGUGCUCGAGUGGCGAACGGGUGAGUAACACGUGAGUAACCUGCCCUUGACUUUGGGAUAACUUCAGGAAACUGGGGCUAAUACAGGAUAGGAGCUCCUGCUGCAUGGUGGGGGUUGGAAAGUUUCGGCGGUUGGGGAUGGACUCGCGGCUUAUCAGCUUGUUGGUGGGGUAGUGGCUUACCAAGGCUUUGACGGGUAGCCGGCCUGAGAGGGUGACCGGCCACAUUGGGACUGCGAUACGGCCCAGACUCCUACGGGAGGCAGCAGUGGGGAAUAUUGCACAAUGGGCGGAAGCCUGAUGCAGCAACGCCGCGUGCGGGAUGACGGCCUUCGGGUUGUAAACCGCUUUCGCCUGUGACGAAGCGUGAGUGACGGUAAUGGGUAAAGAAGCACCGGCUAACUACGUG